rnacentral:lncRNA from 1 species
UGAGUAGAAGCAGAUGGUGUGUGCUGUUCUCAUGGGGAAAAGACAGAGUGCUGAGGUGGAAUACCCAGAGUCAACUGACAGGCCCUCUGCCAUUGCUGCUGCCAUGGUCCCCACCCCUGCUGCCUCCAAGCUGAGGAGGGAAGAAAAAACUUCACCACACUCCAGGGUGGCAGUGCACAGCUUGGGAGUGGUGAACGGAGAUCUGUGACCAGCACUCUGAAAGGAGAGGAGUUUACACUCCCAGAGCACUGAGAGGGAGCACAGCUACAAACGCCAGGAAACACAAAGAAGCCAGUGGCUUAGUAAGAGCCUACCUACUGCCAGUACUCUUAAGAACCAUCUACUGCAUCUCAGCCCAAUGUAAAACACCAAAACUACUAAGCUAAUAUACCCCCCUAUGGAACCAAGGGCAGUAAUUCAGUCACAAAAAAAGAAAGACUCUACACAGAGCAUUGGCUUUCUGAAACCAUCUACAAACAAAGCUAACUGACUAUAUUCAACUUAUAACCACAAUUAAAAGAACAUCAACCCUUCCAGAUGAGAAAUAAUUAGCACAAGAACCCUGGCAAUUCAAAAACCGAAGUGUCUAUGUACCUCCAAGGGAGUCCACUAGUCUCCAACAAUGAAUCUUAAGUUGGAAAUAAUAGAUAUAGAAUUCAGAAUCUUUAUGGCAAGGAAGUGCAUUGAGUUGCAAGAGAAAGUUGAAACUCAAUCCAAGGAAUCCAGUAAGAUGAUCCAAGAGCUGAAAUACAAUAUAGCUAUUUUUAGAAAUAACCAAACUAAACUUUUAGAGCUGAAAAACUCACUACAAGAAUUUCAUACUUCUAUGUAAAGUAUUAACAGCAGAAUAGACCAUGCUGAGCAUAGAAUUUCAGAACAUG